rnacentral:lncRNA from 1 species
CAUCUCUAGGUCAUAGACAUGCCAGAGCAUAACCCUGGGCAAAUGGGAGGAACCAUGAGGCUGGGCAAGAGGAGAACCCUGUUCCAGACCAAGAACUCAGUCAUGAGGAAACUCUAUGGAGACACAGACUACUUGGAAGAAAGGCACCGCCACCGAUUUGAGGUGAAUCCAGUCCUGAAAAAGUGCUUGGAAGAGCAAGGCUUGAAGUUUGUUGGCCAGGAUGUUGAAGGCGAGAGGAUGGAGAUCGUGGAGCU